rnacentral:rRNA from 1 species
UUUAGUAGUAAUAGUUAUGAUCUUGAAACUUAAAGAAUUUGGCGGUGUUAUAGUCCUUUCAGAGGAAUCUGUUCUGUAAUUGAUAUUACACGAUUGGWCACACUUCAUUUUGUAAUCAGUUUGUAUACCGCCGUCGAAAGAUUAUUUUGUGGAGAAGAGGAAUUUUCUUUAAUCAGUAUUAUGAUGGAUGUCAGGUCAAGGUGCAGUUUAUGAUGAAGUGGGUAAUGGAUUACAAUGACAUUAGUUAUAUGGAGGAUUAGGCUAAAAGUUAUGUUAAUUUGAAGGUGGAUUUGAUUGUAAAAUGGUUUUAAUAGGUUUUUUGAUUGGGGCUCUAUAAUGUGUACAUAUCGCCCGUCACUCUCGUUGAAAUAUGAG